UGAGAAUACUGCCAGUAGUUCAGCAGAGAGGUGGUUGUGGAUACCCCAGGGUCGUAGCUGGGGCCGGGCUGAGGAUGUUGCAUUCUGGACACUGCAUUUGAGGAUGGAGCUGACGCUCUGGAAUGCCAGGGCAGCCCCGGGAGAACAGACCUUGUGGAUGGCACUUCACCACGAGGAAGCUGAAAUGAGACAUUGGAUGUGAGGAGGGAAGGUUAGGAGAUAACUUCUGCCAUGACCCACAUAACCUUCAGGCACCCCCAGUGACCCAUGUUGGCGGGGUUGACCUGAACAGUCUCAGAUGCUGGGGACAGUCCCAGGAAAGGGAUAUGUUAAAGUUUUAGCAGGGGACCCUUUUGUGCCUGGUCCCUUUGGUUCCACCAAGAGGGAAGAGGAAGACCAGGAGAAGGAAUCUCCACAGGAGAUAUUUCCCCUCCCCCUCAAACCCUCACAUUCUCCUCUCAGCUCUAGCAUGGAGAUCUGUCUCUCCAGAUGUUUGCCUAGAAUGUUCUCUCCCCUCUGGUCCAAGAGGAACAUUCGUGUGCGUUCUUGGAGACCCAGGCCAAAGAGUCUUGCUCCAUGGCUGACAGGUCCUAUGUAACCCCACAGCAGUGCUGUGGCCCUCUGUGACAGGGCUCUGUAGGGAUGAGCGUUCAGACCUGCCUCAGCUGCCAUGCUGUCAUGCGGAGCCAUUGCUGUUCCAUCUGCGCCCCCCCAGCUGAGGUUCCAAGACAAGGCCUAUGUUCCAAGACAAGGCCUAUGUCUUCAUGAGGGCAGAAUGGAGCCUGAACCCUAACUCAGCAGGUGCUGCCGGGCCAGUGGCAUUUAACCUUCCAUCCCUUACAUGCUUACAGCUCCCCAGGUAGACUACCUAUCCCCCCCCACCAUAGAGCUGCUUGAGAAUUCAAUGAGAAAAUAUAAGCAAAGCACUUGACAUUGUACCAGUACACCGAAGAGCACAAAACCGUGAGCCUUCACUCUGCGUCUCUGUCCCCCUUGGACCCACAAUGUAGCAGCUUGAAUGAAAGAGUGGACGACCGAGGCGGGAGAUCGUCAAGGUCUGGAAUCAGCCUGCGAAUGCUUCCCUUUAGGACUUAACAGAACAGUUAGUGUAUGUGAUGCCAUCGUAGUCCUCCACUUUCACUGCGGCCCACCCUGGGAGUAACAGACACCCGACAGAGUACUCAAGGCCUUUUGCUUGAGCCCGGAGGUCGCUGGCGUAGAGGGCUCAGGAGCAGAAGCUAACAUUGUCAGCCUGACCUGCCCCGAGAAAGACCCUGCUGGGCCCUCGCUGUGCAGAGCCCCAGAUGGGCCCCACGGUCUCUGGACUCAGUCUCACCUCUGUGAUGUUUUGGUCCUCACCCACUGCCCAGGCUGCUCUGGCAGCUUCCAUGAUGACGCUGAAGGCAUACAAGAGAUGGCAUGGGGAGAAGUCCCCCAGACUGUUUUCCAGGCACUGGUAUUACAGGUUUUACAAGAAUGUGAAAAAUCACAGCCCUGAGGCCUGGCCAUGCCCAGAAGGAAAGAAGCUGAGUGGAAGAUCGCUCAGGAAGUAUGACUCCUCGCUAAUCCCCAGAGCAAGUCUAGCUGACCAGGAGCCGUGGGGAUAGGCUAAAGGCUCAGAGCAAAGGUAUUAAUUCAGCGUUUAUUGUCCGUCUCCCUCUUUGCCAAGUCCAGAGGGUUUGCGGGAUUUUAUUCCCUGCUUCACCCCCAGCACUGAGUGUGGCACCUGGCCCAUAUUAGGUACUCCACAGAUAUUUGCUGAAUGGAUGAAUGAGUGGAAGGAGGGUAGCGGGGCUGCGCUGGAUGGGUGUACCCGAGGCCUGGGCAUCCCGGGGGACAGGCUCACAGAAGUGGGAAUCAGCUUGCUGAAGCAGUUGGGUCAGGCCGAAGGGGGUGAUGGAAAUCUGGAAGGAGCAAAGGACAAUGGCCUCCGCGUGCUGACGGAACAAUCACUUCUAACCUUUGACUUGAGCGCGCCAGGCGGCAGUCCUGUCACCCGGCGGCCUGCACCCCUGGGAGGGUGAGCCAGGAGCAGCCACCCCCUGGGCAGGUGGGCAGGCGGCCGCGCCCCUGAAGAACCUGGAAAGCACACUGGGGCCUGCAGGCCUGGGGCUUGAGUAAUGACAGCUGCUGUGCCUUUGGGUGGUGUGUAAUUGUGAAAUACUUAAUACACACAAAGCAUGUCAUCAGGGGCACAUAGGUAAUAAAAUAAUGGAAUGAAUGCCAGGGCACCGACUGAUGAUCCCAGAGUUGACCACCAUCUGAUCUUUGUGUUUAUUAUACCCUUGCUUUGUUUCUUAAGCAGCUUUCUGCUGCCCCUCGUACCGUAAAUGUUCCGUGUAGCCCAGUGUAUGAUGUCGUUUGGUGUCAUGCUCGGGAAAGAUGGUAUCAUGUUCGGUAAUUUGCUUUUUUUGCUUCCUGUGUUCUUGGAUUUGUCCUUGUUGCCGCUGUGUUGAAGGCUGUGGUUCCCUCCUUUUCUCUGGUGUGGAAUACCCCGGGGUGUGCUGGUAGCACGCUGGUCAGCCGUCCUCCGUGUGUCACACCUCCAGCACCCACACUUUGAUGAACAAGGCUGCUGUGUAAAAGCGGCAUCAGUGCUGUUGUUAUGAGCAGGGUUUCUGCGGAUGACUCAAGAUGGCUCUAUGCCCCUCCCCCUCGAAGUGUCCUAAGGGCCCCCUGAGUUUCUUCCCAAAGGCCACCUGCUGCUGCCUGGGGUCCUGGUUCCCACUGUGGGGAUGAAUCAGCGGGAAUCUUGCUGGAGCCCACUGCCAACAUUGGAGCUGGUGUGUCUAGUUUACCAUCUGUUGCCAUCUAACAGGGCUAGCCAGACCACCAGGGAUAGGAGGCUGGCUGGCUGCCCAAGGAGGGCCUGGGCCUGGCAUGACCUGCGUGUGGAAACCAUGUUCCUAGGCUGGCCUUCAGCUUUGCCAAGUCCAGAAACACGUGAGUGCUCCGGGGACUUGCUCCACCUGCUCCCUCUAAGGAAGCUCACCACAGACGAAUGUGCACCUCCAUGGCAACUUUCAUUUAUGAUGGAAGCCAUUCCUACCCAGUGUCCUAUCCCUGGAGACCCCGUUGCCAAUGUCAGGAUGUAUGC